CUCAUUUCCCUCACCAAUUAGACAGUCCCUCCCUCUCUCUAGUCCAAUCAAACUCAUUAUCUCUUUUUUUUUCUUCUUCUUCUCUCCCUCACCUGUAUCUCUCUCCUCUCUGCAACAACCAUACACCAUCAUCAACACUCAUAGAUCGAACCUCCAACCGCCAACCACCACCAUUACACUCUUCUCAAACCCACGAACCCAUCCGUACGAACCGAUCAUGAAAUGAUAAAGUUUUGAACCUCCAACUUAGAGCUCCGACUCAGGUGUGGAUUCUCCGAUGAUUUCCAAUUCGAGUUACAAGUUUUUGGGAAGCUUAGAAGCCACUACACAACUCCCCAUGGCCACUAACCUAAGUUGGGAGAUGAGCCAACGUUGAAAAACGCAGUUUUAAGGAGUUGAAAAUAGGUCCGAGACUUUCGAGCUUUUUCAGUCUAAUUCCGUCCACUUUUUGGACUUUUAAAAGAAUUCGGUGAAAAUUCUCCAGUUUCCGGCAAACCAGAUGGCGAACGGUGGCGACAGCUGUGAAGGUCCACCGGAGAAGAAGAUAGAAUAUUCCGUUAAAGGUUUUUGUGAUACUUACCCCGAUGAGGUACGAGGACAAACAACGCUAGGAGGCUACGAUCCAUCGACGUAUCAGUUUUAGGUAGACUUGGUGUUGGUGGCGUACGAGGAUCUCAGCGAUUCUGACAGAAUAAAAUAUUUGUAGAACAUCUUCUGAUACUGUAUAACUAGUACUUGUCCUACUGAACUGCACCUAAACUUUCUAUGCUCUGAUUAUGAAUAUUUACACUUGUAUCUCACUCCUAGCACUUCCUGUUUAUUAGUGCACAUUGGUAGCUUUCGGUUUUUAUUUAUUCGUAUAUUUCUUUUUCUUAUUGCU
rnacentral:sRNA from 1 species